rnacentral:rRNA from 1 species
CAGUAACGGCGAGUGAAGCGGCAACAGCUCAAAUUUGAAAUCUGGCUCCUUCGGGGUCCGAAUUGUAAUUUGUAGAGAGUGCUUCGGGCGAGACCUCGGUCUAAGUCCAUUGGAACAUGGUGUCAUAGAGGGUGAGAAUCCCGUAUGCGACCGUGGCUCGAGCCCAUGUGAAGCCUCUUCGACGAGUCGAGUUGUUUGGGAAUGCAGCUCAAAAUGGGUGGUAAAUUUCAUCUAAAGCUAAAUACUGGCUGGAGACCGAUAGCGCACAAGUAGAGUGAUCGAAAGAUGAAAAGCACUUUGGAAAGAGAGUCAAACAGUACGUGAAAUUGUUGAAAGGGAAGCGCUUGCAACCAGACCUGCCCGUAGGCGAUCAGCCGCUGUUCUCAGCGGUGUACUCGCUCUGCGAUCAGGCCAGCAUCGGUUUCGGCGGUCGGAUAAAGGCCUUGGGAAUGUAGCUUCCCUUCGGGGGAGUCUUAUAGCCCUCGGUGUAAUGCGGCCAGCUGGGACCGAGGACCGCGCUUCGGCUAGGAUGCUGGCGUAAUGGUUGUAAGCGACCCGUCUUGAAACACGGACCAAGGAGUCUAACAUCUAUGCGAGUGUUUGGGUGUUAAACCCAUACGCGGAAUGAAAGUGAACGGAGGUGAGAACCCUUAAGGGCGCAUCAUCGACCGAUCCAGAUGUCUUCGGAUGGAUUUGAGUAUGAGCAUAGCUGUUGGGACCCGAAAGAUGGUGAACUAUGCCUGAAUAGGGUGAAGCCAGAGGAAACUCUGGUGGAGGCUCGCAGCGGUUCUGACGUGCAAAUCGAUCGUCAAAUUUGGGUAUAGGGGCGAAAGACUAAUC